rnacentral:lncRNA from 1 species
AGCCCCCCCAAACACCAGUGUCUUCCCACGCAGAGGAUUUCUGGCAAUAGCGAGGGGGAAGAAGCCUCAUCUCCCGAAUGCUAGGAUCCCCCUAAUUGGUAUCGCCGUUUGAAAAGGCUCCCCUCGCUCCAGUCUGCUCUCGAGCCCGGGAGAGACAUCGCGCCACCCAGCCCCAGCCGAGCGGACCCUAAGCUCCCUGAGGCUCCCUUGGUGACACCAGGGCGCACCGCACAGACACCGAGGGGGCGGAAAGGAGAAUAAAUCCAGUUUUUAUUUCAGAUAAACCACAAUUCAUGGUCAAGAUAAAGUGUGCCAAUACUGGGGACAAGUCUGACUUUUGGGGAGGAGGGAAUUAUCUCUGUAAACACAAUAGAUGAUUUUGUAAUGUGUAGUAUUUGUAUCUAACUGCAUGAUCCAAUUUGUAUGAACUUGAACUUAUGAUUUAGUAAUUACUUUUUGUGAAAAUAAAGUUUAUUUUAUGACUUAAAACCCA